GAUUGCUGUUUCAUGCAUUCACGCUUCUUUCAUGUAGCUCAUGCAUCUCUCCUAGGGGGAUGUCAAAAGGUUGAGCCUUAAUCCAAAAUGGCAGAACCAAGGAAUAAGAGCCAUUUCGAACGGCAUUUCAUAUUAUUUGAGAAGCCAAUGCUGCGUAACUUCCCUAUAUAGGGGUAUCAUAGAAAAUUGGUUGCUCAAGUUUUCAGUGAACACAGCAACAUCACCUCCGCUUGAGCAUGUGGCCACAGUUCUAUGGCAUAUUGGGAAGGCUCGCGACAAUUUCGCCCGGACCCGAGAAGCCUGUUAGAGGAAGUACAAGUUAGGCGACGCAAUAUUAGCUAAUGGAACUCGAAUUCAAAACCUGCUGAGUGGAGAAAUUGAAACCCACCUCAGAUCUAGAACCCACCAGGGAGGGAGCUUGGAAAAUCAACUUAGUUUCAUUCGAGGAAGGCUCUUUGGACGGAGCGAUCUCAUGCAUCUGCCUAGACCAUACAGGAAGUGUCCUGGACCGAUUAGCUAGAUCAAUCGAGGUUGCCUUAGCAAAUCACGCUAAAACCUUGCUCUAAUUGAAACUCUUAAAGUUUGGGAAAAAUGAUUUUAGAAUAAUCUUAACUUUUGUACGACACUCACUUUAAUGUCAAAACUGUUCAUGAAAUCAUUUAAGUGUCAUUUAAAAAAAUGAUUACUUAAGUGCUAAUUUUAAUUUGAGAUACUGGAAAUCCAACAUAGCAAUUAUUAACAUUUUUUUCUAAUCUACAUGGCUUACCGGAAAGCCCACGUGGCAAAAUUCAACAAAAAAGCCCUUAAAACGAGGUAGUUAUGCAUGAAAUGUCGCAAAUUUCCUCUUUUUAAAAACCCUAACAAAAUACUUGUCAAUUUGGACCAAAAUUAAGAUCUAAAUCUUGCAUUAAAGAGUAAAAUAAGCAAAAAAGGCUCAAGUUCAUGUCAACAAAGCCAAGACAAAGUUGAGG
rnacentral:lncRNA from 1 species